rnacentral:rRNA from 1 species
ACACCCGUUCCCAUGCCGAACACGGAAGUUAAGCUCUUCAGCGCCGAUGGUAGUCGGGGGUUUCCCCCUGUGAGAGUAGGACAUCGCCAGGC